UUUUGUUUACAUGCAUUUUGCAUCUUGUUGCUCGGCUUUCUUGAAUUCUUAUGAAGGUCCUUUACGCCUGUUGCCAAAGCACAGAGUUUUGUGUCGCCUGGGAAAUUAAUUUGAACGAUUCGCCGAUCCAUCUGAGCACGCACGUUAGUCGGAUGAGAGUGAAAAUCCUCUUAGUUGUACAUACAUUUAGUGCCCGGCUUACCCUAACCCUCCUUUGUUAUGCUGCUGUUAAGAUUCGCGUUUUAUCGUUUGCUUCAUGCUUUGUUGCUCCAGACCCUGCGUUAAGUCAUUACAAGUGUUGAACCUCCAUUUUUCUGUCACCCAGGUUCCGUGUUGUCCAUUCAGCUCUGAUUCCAACCCAGCUCUGUCCUUCUGGGAGAUCAUCUAGCCCACCUGUUGUCCACUUCUGCCUCAGGAACCCAACUUGCUGCAUUUGUGGCCUUCACAUGUGACCGAGAUGGAGAUGGAGGCAGUUUGCUGCUAGCAGUCGGUGUUCACUCCAGAACCCAGCGAGGAGAUGCAAGCACCAGAGUGUCGGGUCCACUUUUUCUGGUCGAUUGCCUCCACCGCCAAGUGGACCCAAGCUGAUAGGACUCGUCAGGUUCCGUGUUGUCCAUUCAACUCUGAUUCCGACCCAGCUCUGCCUCUCUUGGGGGUCAUCUAGUCCACCUGCUGUCCGCUUCCGCCUCAGGAACCAAACUUGCUGCAUUUGUGGUUUAAUGUAGCUUCUCAUGUGACUGAGAUGGAGAUGGAGGCAGUUUGCUGCUAGCAGUCGGUGUUCACUCCAGAACCCAGCGAGGAGGUGCAAGCACCAGUGUGUUGGGUUCACUCCUUCUGGUCGAUUGCCUCCACCACCAAGACUCAAGCGGACAGGACUCUCUUACUUUAGUUGUGUAGACAGUUUUGUUUCCAUUCUCUAGCAUCCUUUGACAUACAUAUCAGUCUAUCAGAAGAAAUGUUUAUCGUGCAAGUGAAAAUCUCUGUUUGAGAUACGCCACUUGGGUAGAUUCCCCCCUCUUCCCCAAUUUAGUCACUGAUGUGUUGCUGUAAAUUUUUUAUUAAAAUUGUCAUUUAAUUAAUUAUAACAAUCCUGUUGUUCUUUUUCUUUAUUCCACUUU